GUCGGUGACCAGAGGCAAGGGGUGACACCUGUUCCCAUUCCGAACACAGCAGUUAAGCCCUUGCCGCCGAUGAUACUGCUCAGUGGGAAAGUAGGUUAUCGCCGACU
rnacentral:rRNA from 1 species